rnacentral:lncRNA from 1 species
GGAUAGAGAACAAUGGUGUGAUCUCAGCUCACUGCAACCGCCACCACCAGGAUUCAAAUGAUUCUUGUGCCUCAGCCUCCAGAACAGAUGGGAUUGUAGACAUGUGCCUCCACUACCAGGCCUGGCUGCCAUUCUGUAAAAUGUUCAUACCACCAAAUAUUUAGAGACUACCUGAAUGGAAUCCCUGAAGGAUCACAGACCAUCUUGAUUUUUUCCACUCCUAGAUAAUCUCCCAGUUGAAUGUAGCCAUUUAAGUGGCUCUGAUCAUCGUUAUGGGAACAGAAGAACCAUCUAGGACUGGCCAGUGAUUCUGCUAAGGCUUAAAAUACAAGAAAACAUCUGAAGAAAACUCAUUUCCUCCAACUAUAUUUCCAAAAGAAUCUCUAACUUCUAAAAUCAACAAAGCAAGGAAGAAUUAAUUACAUUGAUCUGUUAUUAAUAUUAUAAAAUUGUAAACAUUAAGGAUAACAUUUCUAAACAUUUGAAAUGUAAACAACUUCAUCAGAAACACAUAGAUAUUUAGUGAAAGUGAAAAUACUUGAGUCAUGACUAGCGAUCUUUGUUAAAAACAAACUCAAUAAUUCAUAUGCAUUAUGAUAUUUUAACCAUAUGGAAUUACAAUGACUUCCUUACAAAGUGGUUGUGAAGGGGAAUUAUUAUAGUGUGAUCAGUUUCUCUGUAAAGCUUGUUAAAAUUACUUCUAAAAAAAUUUUCAGAAUUGCUAUAUUUUAAGGCAAUAGUUUCUAUUUAAUGAAAUCUGUAUUUUUUAACUAAGCUUUGAGAAAAUGAAUCAAAUUUAAUUUUCUAAAGUUUAUUGGCAUGAAUAUCAUUAUUCUGUUUUUGAAGAAAAAUGUUCUAAAUUGCUAAUUUUCAAUGUUGCUUUAUACCCUUCUGUGAGUAAGUGGUCUAUUCUAUCUGAAUAAUAUUAUAUUGUGAGUACUGGGUAGGUUAAAAACUUUUCAUAAGAAAUUACUGGCAGCAAGAAGACAUUACAUGUUCCUGAGCAGAAGAAUAACAUAAAUGGCUAUUUAGUAUUUUCAUAUAAUGGUUUUUGUAUCUAGGUGAAGAAAUUAUUUCAGUAGGAGCUUAUGCAAGGACUACAACCACAGAAAAUAUUCUAAUAAUUUAAUUAGGUAUAAGGAUACUCAUUUAAUGGCCCCCAAAAGAAAACUUGGUAAGAAAUGAAUAAAGAACAAAAAUCAGUAGAUAUUACUUAAUGAGCAAAGAGAUCAAGAAAUUAGUGAUAAUUGUAAAAAGGGGAAAUGCUCAAAUAUCCUGAAGAUGGUAGACCUAUGGGGCUGGAGAAGAACUAAAAAAAAAUCUCUGUAAAUAGAAGGAAGACCUAUUUUUCAAAAUUGUUCUCUAGUUCUUUAACCCAGUCUUAUAUAAAAAUAAGAGAGUAGCUCUCAGCUAUUGCUUUGUUUGAAUAAAAGAAACUGUCAUUAACCCAAGCAAGAAUUUUCACUGUUUUAGAGUGUAUUAUUAAGAAAUGGGCUUACAAAUUAC